UUAAUUUUAAAAUUAUGUGGGUCGUCAGAUUGGUUGAGAUUUAAAUCUCAAAUCGUUGUUUUAUAAUUAACCCUAGUAACCUCACUCUCAUUGUCUCUCACCCGAUUCGCCUCCUCUGCCCAAAUCCAAAUCGAGCUCUCCGUCUUCCUCUAUCCUCCCACGUCAGUGGGAUCACCCAAAUUUGUCGCCUGAAUCGUGACUCCACCCACACCAAUCCUUAAUCCUCAGUCUUCACUUCGUGAAUUCGUCCCCUGAAUCGCGAUUCCACCCACAGUCCACACCACCUUGCCCGAAUCGAGCUCUCAGUCGUAGUCCUCACUCCUCCUCACUCCACAAGGUAAGAAUAUCAUGCAAUAAACUCAACCCAAGUUCAUGGAUAUUGUUUUAUUUUGAAUUCGGUUAGUGAUUUUGAAUAUGGGUUAUGAAUCAGGGCUUUUGAAAACGAUCUCUGAAUUAGGGAUUUUGGAUUAGGGUCUCUCUAUACCUCUCUCUCUCUCUCUCACUCCUCUCAUAUCUGGGUUUUACCUUUGUUUUUUUUUUCUUUGAAAAACACCAACACCACCCAUGCAUCAUAUUUGAGUUCGUGUUUUUUCGUUUCGAGUUUAUAUCUUAUGAGAUCUGACAUGUAUAUUUUGUAUCUCGCCUCGUUGCUUAUGGAUUUGAGUUAUGAAAUUAUUUUACAUUUUUUUUUCAUACUUGCCCGUUGCAUGCAAUUUUGGAUAUGAAUGUGAUGGAUUUUUGGUUAAUUCAUACUGUGAAGUUUCUCGGUGACUGGUUUGGUCGACCCGAUCCAACUCAUAUUGGAGCGGUUUAGAGCCUUGUUCACUCUGUCUCUGCAACCUCAAAGGCCCUGGCCUUGUCACGGCCCCAUUGCUGGUUCGUAUUCUUUAUUUGUAUGGAAGAAUUUCAUAUCUAUUAUUAUAUUUACGGAGCCAUGUUGCUUAGAAUUUUAGGAUUUUGGAUCUUCAAUUUUUGGAAAAGCGUAAGUUUUUUUUAUUGAUUUAUUAGGAGUUGUCUUGAUUCGACCCCUCCCCCAAUAAUUAUUUAUUCGUUUUUGACUUUUCUUUUAUGGUGUGGUAGCAUUGAAAGAAGAGGAUUUAGUAAUUGAAUCUAGGUAGAGAUGAAAUCAGAAGUGAAACACAAAAAAAUGUAUUCAAAUGUGAAGUUCUUAAGGUGCUAAUGUUUAAUCAUGUUAGUACAAGUUUCAUCAUGGAAAAUGCAAUAUCGUUAUACUGUCUAUGCUAACUUAAACAAAUAUUUACCAGGUAUGUGAUUAAAAUAAGCAACUCACUUUGACCAUAAAUAAUAUACAUACUUAUAUAUUUCUGUGAUUCAGGUGAGUCAGGUGACCAUGAGCUGAAUGUAUUAUCUCCAACCCAAAAAUUGCUUUUACAACCUGAAGUGAGGAAUUUGAAUCUUUGAGAUGGCAGAUCUGGAACUUGUAGGUAUUGAUUUUAAUUAACUCUGUGUAGGUGUAAUUUUGGACUGAUUGUGUUUUGAAUUCGACUAUAUUUGUGUUGGCUUCUGAUGAAUAUAGUAGUCUAUGUUAGCUGAGUGAGUCUUUUCUCACUGACAUCAAGCUAGAGAUUAUGUCGAUCUUCAACAGUUUUUGGCCAUGGUCGCUGUUAAUAGCAUUAAUUCCAUUUGGUCAAUUUCUAUGGUUUGUUCCAAAAUGUACCCUGGUCUUUGUGUUUGAAUACUAGAAUCAAAAUGAAGAUGAUAAUAUUUCUGCACCAAAUCUGAACCUUGAGCAAUUAGCCAUGUAAUCUUAUGCAGAGUGUGAUGAGUCUGAACAAUGUAGUAAUGCACAGUCAGUUGUUAUGGAGGGUGGACUUAUUUUUAAUACUUGUGAACUUAUUUUUGAUGAGGAAUAUUUGUAUACUUUCUGCAUCCAUUGUUGGUUGUUCUGGAGGGUGGAGUUGUUAUAUAAGAAUCAUCUUAAAGCAAGUGGUGGAAAGACCCUUGAAGCAAAUAAGAGUCCUCCCACAAAGCAAAGAUUUGAUGAGGUGCAAGGCCUGCUGGGAAGAUGCAUCUGUCCAAAAAUGUUUGCUUUCAAGUUUUUUUUUUUAUUCUUUGGGUAUUAGAGAGAAAAUAUGUAACACAACAAUAUAUGUUUGUGAGAUUCAGAAAGUGAAAGUUGGUUUCAUGGUUGUAGGCA